GAUUUCUGGUUCGGCGUACUUGGCCCGUCCCGGUCUUCGGGAUUGUGUGCCGGUGUGCGCCAUCCAUCCUUCGAGAAAACACUUCUACCCUUCACGGGGCCGGGAGUGCUAUCUCGAUCUUUUACUUUGAAAAAAUUAGAGUGUUUAAAGCAGGCUUGCGCUAUGAAUACAUUAGCAUGGAAUAAUAAUUUAGGACUUUGGUCUUAUUUUGUUGGUUUCUAGGACUAAAGUAAUGAUUGAUAGGGACAGUUGGGGGUGCUAGUAUUCAGCGGCCAGAGGUGAAAUUCUUGGAUUCGCUGAAGACUAACUUAUGCGAAAGCAUU
rnacentral:rRNA from 2 species